rnacentral:lncRNA from 1 species
AGAAAUAGAAUGAUUAUCUCACCUGUUUAAAUGACUGUAUGAAUAUGCUUUAGUCAUCAUCAUUACAAAUGUGUUUAUUUUGCAAGUUCUGUGGCUGGGUGAAUUACUUUAUGUGAAUCCCCCACUAUAUUUAUUAAUGAAAGAAAUUCAGUGAGAGUCAGGGAAAAGGGAAAUUCUUCCUGAAUUUGAACAGAUGGCAGAUUUGUUUUUACCCUUUUCUGUCUAGGUUUUCAAGGGCUCAUAGAUUUUGAUCUGAAAGAGACCUUAGAAGCCAAUUAGUCCAGAAUGUUCAUUUUACAGAUGGGGAAACUGAGACACAGAAAGAAUUGUAAGUGGCUUGGGAUAUGUGGGAAGAAAAUGAUCAUGGUGCCAAGAUGGUUGAUAAGAGCAAUGUAAGUAGAUGAUUAUUCUAUAACUUAAGUUUUAGAGUUGCUUUGGGCAUAAGGAAUUUAAAUGAUUUGUUCAGACCAUACAGCCAGUAUAUUUCAGAGAUAGGACUUGAAAGCAGGGCUUUUUUACUCUGAAGUUUACUUUAUCAGUUAUACUAUGCUGGUUGGCUUAAGUCAUUAUCAACUUACAGUAAUAAUACUGUGGUAAAGAGACAAUAUAUAGAAGAAAUGUAGAGCUUAGAGUCAAGAAAUUCUAGGCUCAAGUCUUUUCCCUAACAUAUACUGGCUAUUUUAUUCUGGGCAAGGCACUCAAUAGCGUAGUGUCCUAGGCAAUUUUCUAAGACUGUAAGUUACAGAAAAGUUCUUUUUUUAAAAACCCAUAACUUCUCUCUUGAAAUCAAUACUGUAUAUUGGUUCCUAGGCAGAAGAUUGGUAAGGGCUAAGCAAUGGGGGUUAAGUGACUUGCCCAGGGUCACCCAGCUGGGAAGUGUCUGAGGCCAGAGUUGAAUCCAGGACCUUCCCUCUCUAGGUCUGACUCUCAAUCCACUGAGCUUCCCAGCUGCUCCUUAGAUAAGUUCUUGAUCAAUAUCAGUGAAGAGAAUUUUCAUUUCAGGAAUUGUCUUACUGAUGAAAUCACAAGUGUUCUGUACCUCAAAAAAAAAGAAUGAGGGUAAUUAUGUUGCAUUUAUUAAUCAGAAAUAAAAAUACAUAUUGCUGAUUCA